rnacentral:tRNA from 1 species
GGCACCUUGGCGGAGUGGUUACGCAGGGGUCUGCAAAACCUCGUACACCGGUUCAAUUCCGGUAGGUGCCUCCA